CGAAGUUUUGAAUAAUUGGAAAUUAAUACAAAUGCGUAUGAAUCGUCUGUUUAUACAUGGUCUCCGUACCUUCUUAUUACCAAAAAGAUCGAAGUGUACGAACACGAUGUUGUUAAGAAACUCAUAAAUCUAACUUUAUUGAUUAUGUGAAAUAAAACUAAAACAUUGUUAAAACAUUAAAGAUAUAUAAUUAAUCGGGGG
rnacentral:lncRNA from 1 species